UACGUAGGGUGCGAGCGUUAAUCGGAAUUACUGGGCGUAAAGCGUGCGCAGGCGGUGAUGUAAGACAGUUGUGAAAUCCCCGGGCUCAACCUGGGAACUGCAUCUGUGACUGCAUCGCUGGAGUGCGGCAGAGGGGGAUGGAAUUCCGCGUGUAGCAGUGAAAUGCGUAGAUAUGCGGAGGAACACCGAUGGCGAAGGCAAUCCCCCUGGGCCUGCACUGACGCUCAUGCACGAAAGCGUGGGGAGCAAACAGG
rnacentral:rRNA from 1 species